rnacentral:antisense_RNA from 1 species
AAUUUCAAAGAUGAAGAGGGACAACUUGCUCAAGAACAGAGAAUCAUUGGUUUUGAGUAAAUAUAUAGGAAUUAGCACAAAUGGAGAUAAAACAAGAAAUGGUACACCCGAGUGGACUCGAACCACCGACCCCUACCA